GAUGAACGCUAGCGGCAGGCUUAACACAUGCAAGUCGAGGGGCAUCGAGAGUAGCAAUACUUGUCGGCGACCGGCGCAAGGGUGCGUAACACGUGAGCAACAUACCCGUUUCAGGAGGAUAACCGGAGGAAACUCUGCCUAAUACUCCAUGACAUCAUCAAACGGCAUCGUUUGAUGAUUAAAGAUUUAUCGGAAACGGCUUGGCUCGCGGGACAUUAGCUCGUUGGUGAGGUAACGGCUCACCAAGGCCACGAUGUCUAGGGGUUCUGAGAGGAAGGUCCCCCACACUGGAACUGAGACACGGUCCAGACUCCUACGGGAGGCAGCAGUGAGGAAUAUUGGACAAUGGUCGGAAGACUGAUCCAGCCAUGCCGCGUGAAGGUUACUGUCCUAUGGAUAUUAAACUUCUUUUGUAUGAGAGCAAUAAGGUGCACGCGUGCACCGAUGAGAGUAUCAUACGAAUAAGCAUCGGCUAACUCCG
rnacentral:rRNA from 1 species